AUGGCUUUGGAUCGCAGGGCCUUGCCGCAGCCGGCGGCCGCCUGCGUUCCCGCCGUCCAGGCGGCGAGGCCGUGGGCGGGGGACAGCGGUACUAAUUCGUCUACGGAGGGGAGGGAAAGGGACAUACUGCAGGGGAGCGCCGUGGAGGUGGAUGUGCCGCUGCUGUGGGACGACGAGGGGAGGAUGAAGCGGGAGCUGGUCGCCUGGGCCAAGGCCGUGGCGUCCAUGGCCAUCAGGGAGUCGAUGCGGUGCUAA
rnacentral:rRNA from 1 species